GAUGAAGAACGUAGCGAAAUGCGAUAAGUAGUGUGAAUUGCAGACUUUAGUGAAUCAUCGAAUCUUUGAACGCACAUUGCGCCCCUUGGUAUUCCAUUGGGCAUGCCUGUCCGAGCGUCAUUACAACCCUCAAGCUCAGCUUGGUGUUGGGCCCCGCCGCCCCGGCGGGCCCUAAAGUCAGUGGCGGUGCCGUCCGGCUCCGAGCGUAGUAAUUCUUCUCGCUCUGGAGGUCCGGUCGUGUGCUCGCCAGCAACCCCCAAUUUUUUUCAGGUUGACCUCGGAUCAGGUAGGGAUACCCGCUGAACUUAAGCAUAUCAAUAAGCGGAGGA
rnacentral:misc_RNA from 1 species